AUUGAACGCUGGCGGCAGGCCUAACACAUGCAAGUCGAGCGGAGCGGCGGACGGGUGAGUAAUGCCUAGGAAUCUGCCUGGUAGUGGGGGAUAACGUCCGGUAACGGGCGCUAAUACCGCAUACUAUCAGAUGAGCCUAGGUCGGAUUAGCUAGGUGGUGGGGUAAAGGCUUACCAAGGCGACGAUCCGUAACUGUGCUGAGAGUAUGAUUAGUCACACUGGAACUGAAACACGGUCCAGACUCCUAGGGGAGGCAGCAGUGGGGAAUAUUGGACAAUGGGCGAGAGUCUAAUCCAGCCAUGCCGCGUGUGUGAAGAAGGUCUUCGGAUUGUAAAGCACUUUAAGUUGGGAGGCGUUACCAACAGAAUAAGCACCGGCUAACUACGUGCCAGCAGCCGCGGUAAUUC
rnacentral:rRNA from 1 species